GAUGAAGAACGUAGCGUAAUGCGAAAAGUAAUGUGAAUUGCAGAAUUCAGUGAAUCAUCGAAUCUUUGAACGCACAUUGCGCCCGCCAGUAUUCUGGCGGGCAUGCCUGUCUGAGCGUCAUUUCAACCCUCACGCCCCUAGGGCGUGGUGUUGGGGAUCGGCCAAGGCCCGCAAGGGACGGCCGGCCCCUAAAUCUAGUGGCGGACCCAUCGUGGCCUCCCCUGCGAAGUAGUAAUAUAUUCCGCAUCGGAUAGCGAUGAGCCCCUGCCGUUAAACCCCCAACUCUUUCAAGGUUGACCUCAGAUCAGGUAGGAAUACCCGCUGAACUUAAGCAUAUCAAUAAGCGGAGGA
rnacentral:misc_RNA from 1 species